AGCUCCAAUAGCGUAUAUUUAAGUUGUUGCAGUUAAAAAGCUCGUAGUUGGAUUUCGGGCGGGUGCUGCCGGUCCGCCCAUGGGGUGAGCACUGGCAUGGCCCGCCUUCCUGCCGGAUACAUGGCUGAGCUUCACCGCUCGGUUCAUGGAGUCGGCGUGGUUACUUUGAGUAAAUUAGAGUGUUCAAAGCAAGCUCGCGCUCUGAAUACGUUAGCAUGGAAUAACACGAUAGGACUCUGGCCUAUCUCGUUGGCCUGUAGGACCGGAGUAAUGAUUAAGAGGGACAGUCGGGGGCAUUCGUAUUUCAUUGUCAGAGGUGAAAUUCUUGGAUUUAUGAAAGACGAACUUCUGCGAAAGCAUUUGCCAAGGAUGUUUUCAU
rnacentral:rRNA from 1 species